GAUGAACGCUGGCGGCGUGCCUAAUACAUGCAAGUCGAGCGAACAGAUGAGGAGCUUGCUCCUCUGACGUUAGCGGCGGACGGGUGAGUAACACGUGGAUAACCUACCUAUAAGACUGGGAUAACUUCGGGAAACCGGAGCUAAUACCGGAUAAUAUAUUGAACCGCAUGGUUCAAUAGUGAAAGACGGUUUUGCUGUCACUUAUAGAUGGAUCCGCGCCGCAUUAGCUAGUUGGUGAGGUAACGGCUUACCAAGGCAACGAUGCGUAGCCGACCUGAGAGGGUGAUCGGCCACACUGGUACUGUGACGCGGUCCAGACUCCUACGGGCGGCAGCAGUAGGGAAUCUUCCGCAAUGGGCGAAAGCCUGACGGAGCAACGCCGCGUGAGUGCUGAAGGUCUUCGGAUCGUAAAACUCUGUUAUUAUGGAAGAACAAAUGUGUAAGUAACUAUGCACGUCUUGACGGUACCUAAUCAGAAAGCCCCGGCUAACUACGUG
rnacentral:rRNA from 1 species